rnacentral:rRNA from 1 species
AGGGAAUAUUGGACAAUGGAGGAAACUCUGAUCCAGCCAUGCCGCGUGAUAGAUGAAGGCCCUCUGGGUUGUAAAUAUCUUUUAUCUGGGAAGAAACACUCCUAUUCUUAGGAACUUGACGGUACCAGAGGAAUAAGCACCGGCUAACUCCGUGCCAGCAGCCGCGGUAAUACGGAGGGUGCAAGCGUUAUCCGGAUUUAUUGGGUUUAAAGGGUGCGUAGGCGGUUUGAUAAGUCAGCGGUGAAAUAUUUCAGCUUAACUGGAAGGGUGCCGUUGAUACUGUCGAGCUUGAAUUUAGUUGCUGUGGGUGGAAUGUGUGGUGUAGCGGUGAAAUGCAUAGAUAUCACACAGAAUAUCGAUUGCGAAGGCAGCUCACAAAGCUAAUAUUGACGCUGAUGCACGAAAGUGUGGGGAUCAAAC